rnacentral:lncRNA from 12 species
CUGUGCUGUUCUUUCUUCCUUCCCUUGUUUCUUCUCUGAGAAAGAUCCCCAUCUUCCCUGGGAAAGAUCCAGGCUGGAGCUGAGAAAAGUCAACAGCCUGGGAAAAAUGUGUCGACACAUAUGAUAGGAAGACUUUCCCUGUUCUCCCUCCCUCAAAAUCUGUGUCACCCUCCCAUGCCAAGCUCUCCCAAGGACAAGAGCAGAGCCAGCAAAACAAAGCAUCAAUCAACCUGUUCUGAAAUGUGUCAUUCCAUGGAGCCUUUCAACAGGGAAAUCAUGAUCCAG